UUUUCGUAGGAGAAUAAAGACUACAAGGAGUUCAAAGACAAGGAUGUGAGCGAGAUAUACAUUCGCUAUCGUACACUUUUUGACGACAGCUACGAUGGGGAGAAGUAUGCAGUCACGCCGACUAAGUUGUGCCGAACGGGGUUCGGGUUGUUUGAGGACAGUGCGCUCGAAGACACUCGGGAUGCAAUCCCCGUCGACGAGGAAAGUAGUGGUUCAAGUGACGAGGCUGAGCAAAUGGUCGGUGGAUCCCGCUUAUACGUAUCUGACACCACAAGCGGUGGUAAAAGAAAGUCGUCCGGUGCGAUGUGACAGGGUAAGAAGAAAAAAAAUCUGCACGCGAGCUGUCGUUCUCCGUCGACCGAGCCACAAGUGCCGCGGAGGAAGUGGUGGCGAAGCUUAAUACCAUGAUGGGCUCAAAUGACAACACCGGCACUGCCUGUAUAGAGGAGCUACUGGCGGCUGGACGGCUCGAACGACGUACACCUCUAUACUUUUUCGCCUGUGCUAUUCUGGCGAAAAAACAUUACCGAAACAUGCUCGCCGUUAUGAAAGAUUUGGAUGAGAAAUUUGAAUGGAUUGAGUGGCUCUUCAAUGAGUGGGGCAAGUAAUUUCACAUUUCACUGUACGCAUUACAUUUACUUGUGUGUUGUCACGAAAAACUGUUUCCCUUUCGUACUCAACUGUCU
rnacentral:lncRNA from 1 species